rnacentral:rRNA from 1 species
CUGGGGGGGGUGCCUAUACAUGCAGUCGAGCGAACGUCAUAAGGAGCUUGCUCCUUUGAAGUUAGCGGCGGACGGGUGAGUAACACGUGGGUAACCUACCUAUAAGACUGGAAUAACUUCGGGAAACCGGAGCUAAUGCCGGAUAACAUUUGGAACCGCAUGGUUCUAAAGUAAAAGAUGGUUUUGCUAUCACUUAUAGAUGGACCCGCGCCGUAUUAGCUAGUUGGUAAGGUAACGGCUUACCAAGGCAACGAUAGAGCUAAGUCCGGACCUUGAGAGUGAUGAAUCGGCCACACUGGAACUGAGACACCGGUUCCAAGACUCCUAACGGGAGGCCAGCAGUUAGGGAAUCUUCCGCAAUGGAACGAAAGUCUGACGGAGCAACGCCGCGUGAGUGAUGAAGGGUUUUCGGGAUCGUAAAACUCUGUUAUUUAGGGAAGAACAAAUGUGUAAGUAAACUGUGCACAUCUUGACGGUACCUAAUCAGAAAGCCACGGCUAAACUACGUGCCAGCAGCCGCGGUAAUACGUAGGUGGCAAGCGUUAUCCGGAAUUAUUGGGCGUAAAGCGCGCGUAGGCGGUUUCUUAAGUCUGAUGUGAAAGCCCACGGCUCAACCGUGGAGGGUCAUUGGAAACUGGGAAACUUGAGUACAGAAGAGGAAAGUGGAAUUCCAUGUGUAGCGGUGAAAUGCGCAGAGAUAUGGAGGAACACCAGUGGCGAAGGCGACUUUCUGGUCUGUAACUGACGCUGAUGUGCGAAAGCGUGGGGAUCAAACAGGAUUAGAUACCCUGGUAGUCCACGCCGUAAACGAUGAGUGCUAAGUGUUAGGGGGUUUCCGCCCCUUAGUGCUGCAGCUAACGCAUUAAGCACUCCGCCUGGGGAGUACGACCGCAAGGUUGAAACUCAAAGGAAUUGACGGGGACCCGCACAAGCGGUGGAGCAUGUGGUUUAAUUCGAAGCAACGCGAAGAACCUUACCAAAUCUUGACAUCCUUUGAAAACUCUAGAGAUAGAGCCUUCCCCUUCGGGGGACAAAGUGACAGGUGGUGCAUGUUUGUCGUCAGCUCGUGUCGUGAGAUGUUGGGUUAAGUCCCGCAACGAGCGCAACCCUUAAACUUAGUUGCCAGCAUUUAGUUGGGCACUCUAGUUCGACUGCCGGUGACAAACCGUAGGAAGGUGGGGAUGACGUCAAAUCAUCAUGCCCCCUAAUGAUUUGGGCUAACACACACGGUGCCUUACCAAUGGACAAUACAAAGGGCAGCUAAACCGCGAGGUCAUGCAAAUCCCAUAAAGUUGUUCUCAGUUCGGAUUGUAGUCUGCAACUCGACUACAUGAAGCUGGAAUCGCUAGUAAUCGUAGAUCAGCAUGCUACGGUGAAUACGUUCCCGGGUCUUGUACACACCGCCCGUCACACCACGAGAGUUUGUAACACCCGAAGCCGGUGGAGUAACCAUUUAUGGAGCUAGCCGUCGAAAGUGAACAAAAAGG